rnacentral:rRNA from 1 species
UACGUAGGUGGCGAGCGUUGUCCGGAUUUACUGGGCGUAAAGAGCGCGCAGGCGGUCGUACAAGUCGCGUGUGAAAGCCCCCGGCUCAACUGGGGAGGGUCACGCGAUACUGUUCGACUCGAAGGCAGGAGAGGGUAGUGGAAUUCCCGGUGUAGUGGUGAAAUGCGUAGAUAUCGGGAGGAACACCAGUGGCGAAGGCGGCAUCCUGGACCGGUAUUGACGCUGAGGAGCGAAAGCCAGGGGAGCAAACGGG